GCAGCCCCAAGCAAGCUAACGGCAGCCGGGGCAGGCUAACGGCAGUCCCAAGCAAGCUAACGGCAGCCAGGGAAGGCUAACGGCAGCUAGGGCAGGCUAACGGCAGCCCCAAGCAAGCUAACGGCAGCCAGGGCAGGCUAACGGCAGCCCCAAGCAAGCUAACGGCAGCCGGGGCAGGCUAACGGCAGCGCAGCCAGUCGUAGAAGGCCCGAACCAACACAGAUAAUCUGAAGAAGCCGAGACGGCUAUAAAGAAGGAGAGCAAUGAUGGGGAAGGGAGUAGAUGGGAGGAGAAGUAAAAGCAGUCCUUUGGGGGGGCUGCACAUAAAAAACACUA
ensembl:lncRNA